rnacentral:rRNA from 1 species
GACGAACGCUGGCGGCAUGCCUAAUACAUGCAAGUCGAGCGAACAGAUGAAGUGCUUGCACUUCUGACGUUAGCGGCGAACGGGUGAGUAACACGUAAGGAAUCUACCUAUAAGCGGGGGAUAACAUUCGGAAACGGGUGCUAAUACCGCAUAAUAUCUUCUUCCGCAUGGAAGAAGAUUGAAAGACGGCUCUGCUGUCACUUAUAGAUGACCUUGCGGUGCAUUAGUUAGUUGGUGGGGUAACGGCCUACCAAGACGAUGAUGCAUAGCCGACCGGAGAGGGUGAUCGGCCACAUUGGGACCGAGACCCGGCCCAAACUCCUACGGGAGGCAGCAGUAGGGAAUCUUCCGCAAUGGGCGAAAGCCUGACGGAGCAAUGCCGCGUGAGUGAAGAAGGCCUUCGGGUCGUAAAACUCUGUUAUAAGAGAAGAACAGAUUGUAGAGUAACUGCUACAGUCUUGACGGUAUCUUAUCAGAAAGCCACGGCUAACUACGUGCCAGCCGCCGCGGUAA